UCAGAUUUCAGGACCUAUGGAUAAGCAGGAGCCAGUAGCCAAUGUUGAACAAAAGAUAGGUCUCUCUAGGAAGCCAAAGGAGCUGGUCAUUACUCAUUACCGAAUUAUUGUUUUUUGUCCUUUUUUACCUUGUUUACUCUGUUUGUCUAUUUUAUCAACCAUCUACCUCAGCCUAUUGCCAAUAAGGAUGAGAAUGCAACUGUGCCCUUGAUUUCAGUUGGUUCAAAUGCUAUCGAUCUACCAAGUGAAGGCCAAAUCCAAGUUGGCACACUCAACAUGGAUGGGGGCCAUAAUAGUGCACACAACUUGUAUUCUUCUUAGGCACAACCAUUCUGUUACCAAGAUAAGCUUACAUGUCUGAAUAUCUCUUCACACUUUGCAUUCCUUCUUUUGAUUUUAUUAUAGAACAUGAACUUAUGCAUUAUCCUAUAUAGUUGAUCUCAUGCAAUUAUAACCCAUGGAAACAUAAAAGAAGCAAUGAUACACCUGUACCAACUUCUGUUAGUGGAGAUGAUCAACUCUACUCCCUCAGCACUUCUUAUCUCUUUACUACCAGCAUUCAGUACCACAUGGCAUGCAAUAUUUAAGCUCUCCUACUCCAAUAUCACGGGGUGAUACAAUCAUGCUGAUUGCCCCAACACAAGGGUUUUUUAUCAAUGAUACCCUGAGUCCAAACAACUUCCUAUUUGGCAUAAUACCUGGUUAUUAUCUAACUUGUGCUUUGUUCAAUUUAUUUAGGCCUUAUGAUAUAGGUAACAUUUUAACUUUGUGUGUUUUGGUGCUAUCUCUUAGAAUGGUUUAUAUCUUUAGAAGGGACUGGGUCAUUUUCAUCAUCACCUGCAGUUUCAUCUCAACCUUCUAGCAUGUUCUAGGGUCCUAUGGCCAAAGCAAGUUUCUAAUGGCUUCAAGAAUGGUAUUCCUUUUAUGUUGCUAACCAUAUGUUUCUCUUCCCUUAAAUAGUAGGUUUCAAAUACAUUUUAACAAUUACCUCAUUAAACGAUGUCUACCUAUGUGAUAUAUAGAAACUAUAGCAAUGCACUGGCAUCUAAAAAUGCAAUGGUAUGCAAUUCUACAUAUUUGAGAAAAAAUGUUGGACAUCAACAUGUAAGAAACUAGAUAGCUUUAAUAUGUUUGUUCUAUUAUCCCUAAGACAUUUGCGCUAAUUGUUUAUUACUCCGCUAUUAAUUUUUAAAACAGACUUAUAAAAUUAUCAUCCAGACAAGGUUAUAAUUAUUUUCCAUGUCAAUGUUUUUGGACACUUGCUGGUUUUAGUUGUUGAGAUUUAUAGCAGAAAAGUUAUCUGAUUUUGGAACUACCUUAGAUUUUCUGAUGUGAUGAUGCACUUUGGGAAAUUACCUAACUGAUUACAUAAGGUGCAACAUUGUUCGUGGGUUGCAAAGGAUAAUGAGAAUUUGUUGGCGUUUGGUUUGUUCUGCUCAUGCUUGUGGGUAGAGCUGGUGACCCGGAGCUGACAAAGGAUGGUUACACCCUCUUGAAUGAAAUGUUGUCAUAUGUUAUGACUUACCAGUGGCAGUUCAGAACGUAUGCAUAUUUGCUACAUAGCCACACACCGCCACCAACGAAGAGCUCAGUGAUCAGGUCGUCUUCCAUUCCUAUCCCACUCCUUCCCGUGCGCGUCUGCUCCCUCUCCUCUGCUAUUGAAGGAACUUUUUGACCUGGCUAACAAGAUUGGUGAAGGUGGUUUUGGUUCAGUUUACAAGGUUUAUUGUCUGAUGGUACCAUGGUUGCUGUCAAGCAGUUAUCAACAAGGUCUAAACAAAGGAAUUGAAUUUCAUGAAUGAGGUAGGG